GUUUAAACUAUAAACUGGCCGACUAGCCACAACUGCUAUUCUGAGGUAAUUUCUGAAGUAAUUGAAGUUAUUUAUGAAUUUGCAUCCUUUUAUUGUUGUUGCUAUUAUUGUCAUUUUAAAAACGAAAUGGCCGAGUUAUGGAUCUGGGGCGGGUUAAGUCGAUACAUAUUGGACAAGUUAUUAAACGUGUAACGUUAUAUUUUAAUCAGGAACAAAACACCACAUUUUAAAGAAAUUAGCAACAAAUGUAAGAUACAGCUUACACCUGUACGGUCGUAAUUAAACAACGUCCCUCAGGACUUUUAGCUGAAAAGUGUGUACAGUUGGACAAAUAUUGAUGAAUUUUCAUCAAUUCAGUUUACUUGACUUUUAUUUUGAGAGCCGUAUUACUAGUUUUUUUUUUCACCGGAUGAGAAGAGCCGUGUCUAGAACAACUCAAACAGCGAGUAAACACGGCGUAGCCGGACGCCUCCGGUGUGGGUUCACUCACGGAACAUAAUGUGUUUUAAAAACGUGACGCGGCGUGAGGCGAUACCACGGGUCUCGUCCGGUGACCGACCGUCUGUAUUUCACGAAUCACACAUAUCGCUGUAACGUUUGCUGCAUAAAUAUAUAUUGACGUAUUGACUGAAGAAAGAUGCAUACAAUAAACAUCCAAGGGCAGCAAUAUAUGCUGCUGCUCCUGUUGUACUUCUGAAAGCAGUUUGUAGCACAUUGCUUGUGCUAAGAGCCAACAUCCAGUCUUGACAAACCCAAAGGCUCUUUUAAGAGCCAUCCACUCUGCAUUACAGAGACCAUUUCGGUGAAGCUCACCAUCAUUGGUCACACCUGGUAAAGCUCACCAUGUAAGUACUACUGUAAUGCUAGUUUGUGUUGACGAUUAGCACUGUAUACAUUUAGGUUCUCUUGAUUCGAGAUUAAUGUUUGAUUGCUCGAAAGUUUUAAAAUCAUUGCAGUAUGUUAAUACAUUAUUAUGGAGCAACAUAAACCUUUGGUGUAACAAUGUUAAACAUUUAAAAUUACACACAUUGUUUGCUUUAUCUUCAUAGUAAAUAAGAAAUGCUGCAGGCUCUUGAAAUGUAACUUUUGUUUGUUUUUCUUUUUUAUUUAUUUUUUCUUGUUCGCAGCAUUGGUCACACCUGGUGAAGCUCACCAUGUAAGUACUACUGUAAUGCUAGUUUGUGUUGACAAUUAGUACUGUAUACAUUUAGGUUCUCUUGAUUAAGAUUAAUGUUUGAUUGCUCGAAAGUUUUAAAAUCACUGCAGUAUAUUUAUACUUUACUAUGGGACAAAAUAAUAAAUCAUAAAGAAAAUUGUACAAUGUAAACUUAAACAAAAAUGUGGUCUUGAGGACUUUUUUUUAACUGUUAACAAAUCUAAAUUGUCUUUUUUUUCUUCCUUUUUUUGUCUACAGUAAAUUGUUCGUCUUGUCCAUCUAGGUAAGUAUGAUUGUUAAACGUAGGGGUUAUAGUUAAAGUAGGGAUUAUUGAUUACUUAGAUCAGCAAAAAACUCAUUCAACUUUGUCUUCAAGUAACCCUUGACUUUAAAAUAUAAACACUAUUUAUUUGGUGUCAUUCAAACGUUAAGUUUGUAUGUUACUUUACUACUGCUUUUCAGGGACCAUUUCGGUGAAGCUCACCAUGUAAGUACUACUGUAAUGCUAGUUUGUGUUGACGAUUAGCACUGUAUACAUUUAGGUUCUCCUGAUUCGAGAUUAAUGUUUGAUUGCUCGAAAGUUUUAAAAUCAUUGCAGUAUGUUAAUACAUUAUUAUGGAGCAACAUAAACCUUUGGUGUAACAAUGUUAAACAUUUAAAAUUACACACAUUGUUUGCUUUAUCUUCAUAGUAAAUAAGAAAUGCUGCAGGCUCUUGAAAUGUAACUUUUGUUUGUUUUUCUUUUUUUUUUCUUUUUUCUUGU